UAGUAUAUAUAAACACAAAAAAUAUAGAUAGAAGCACAUUGUUUCAUGCCUUUACAUCUGUAUAUACUUAUUUAGCACAUACAAUUGCAUAAAAUCAAGCAUGUCAGAUUUCAGUCAUAAGUCUAUAUAGAAAACCCAAAGGAUUUGAGGGAAUUUGAUUUAACUGAAUUAAAUAAAACAAAAUUUGUUUAUUUAACAAAAACCAUGGCCAGCCAACAAUUUAACAAAGCUAGUAUAAAAGUGAAAAAAAAAGAAAAAAAAACUUUGAGAAAAUAAUACGUUAUACUAUACAAAUAGCCUGUUAUCUAAUGGAUUAUAUUCUAUCAUUUACUCCCACUAUCUUUUAAAAAUUAAAAAUAAAAGCAUAUCAAUAGUAUGUGAAAAUUUACCUGUUAGCUGCUCGGUUAGCUGUGCCAUCAAAUAUCGCCUUUGCCUAACUUUCUCGGGGUUUUCAUAUUGGUUUGUUGUCUUUCGCGGGUGAGAAUAGCGUGCACGACUUUUAAAUCUUUGAACCAAUGGCAAAAAUAUUUUUGAUAAAACAGGGGGUGGGGUGAAAAUGGCAGCGGGCUCAGAAUUGAGCCUGGUCAGUGGUAAUUUCAUUAGCCGGAGGAACCAGUUGUCAUGGAAAUGGCGUCAUAUGGCGCGAAAAUCCGCCAUGUUUUUGGCGACACUUUUUGAUGCCGAGCACGUCCUCCAGUAAUAUAGUAUAGCUCAGUGGGCACAUCCGAAGGAUUCAAAUUCCCGCCAAAACAACACCGCGGCAAAAAUUUGUUUCCAUCUACCAAACUAACAUUACUUCAAUAGUUAAAAAAUCGUUUUCCAGUUUAUUUGUUUGGAUUUCAAGUAAGGCUUAGGGUUUACGUUUGGGUCAACGUUUGUUAUGUUUUUAAUAGUAAGUAUUAACAGAAAUGGAUAACAGCAAUGUCACUUUGAUAGAUGGAAACAAGUGAUGACCAUAAUGGUGGGAAUCUAGACAGUCUAAACAACAUGAAAAGCGAUGUUUUCAAUGGGAAAUUUAUAAUUACCAUUAAACGCACAACUACAGCGAUAAAAAUUCGCUGGAUAAAAAUCCGAG